CCUACGGGGGGCAGCAGUGGGGAAUAUUGCACAAUGGGCGCAAGCCUGAUGCAGCGACGCCGCGUGAGGGAUGACGGCCUUCGGGUUGUAAACCUCUGUUAGCAGGGAAGAAGAGAAAUUGACGGUACCUGCAGAGAAAGCGCCGGCUAACUACGUGCCAGCAGCCGCGGUAAUACGUAGGGCGCGAGCGUUGUCCGGAAUUAUUGGGCGUAAAGAGCUUGUAGGCGGUUUGUCGCGUCUGCUGUGAAAGGCCGGGGCUUAACCCCGUGUAUUGCAGUGGGUACGGGCAGACUAGAGUGCAGUAGGGGAGACUGGAAUUCCUGGUGUAGCGGUGGAAUGCGCAGAUAUCAGGAGGAACACCGAUGGCGAAGGCAGGUCUCUGGGCUGUAACUGACGCUGAGAAGCGAAAGCAUGGGGAGCGAACAGGAUUAGAUACCCGGGUAGUC
rnacentral:rRNA from 1 species